UACGAAGGGGGCUAGCGUUGUUCGGAAUCACUGGGCGUAAAGCGCACGUAGGCGGACAUUUAAGUCAGGGGUGAAAUCCCGGAGCUCAACUCCGGAACUGCCUUUGAUACUGGAAAGCUUGAGUUCGGGAGAGGUGAGUGGAACUGCGAGUGUAGAGGUGAAAUUCGUAGAUAUUCGCAAGAACACCAGUGGCGAAGGCGGCUCACUGGCCCGAUACUGACGCUGAGGUGCGAAAGCGUGGGGAGCAAACAGG
rnacentral:rRNA from 1 species